rnacentral:rRNA from 1 species
AACGAACGCUGGCGGCGCGCCUAAUACAUGCAAGUCGAGCGAGAAGACGUAGCAAUACGUUUGUAAAGCGGCGAACGGGUGAGGAAUACAUGGGCAACCUACCCUCGAGUGGGGAAUAACUAGCCGAAAGGUUAGCUAAUACCGCGUACGCUCCUUGGACUUCGGUUCAGGGAGGAAAGCGAUACCGUGGGUAUCGCGCUCUUGGAUGGGCUCAUGUCCUAUCAGCUUGUUGGUGAGGUAACGGCUCACCAAGGCUUCGACGGGUAGCUGGUCUGAGAGGACGAUCAGCCACACUGGCACUGCGACACGGGCCAGACUCCUACGGGAGGCAGCAGUAAGGAAUAUUGCGCAAUGGGCGAAAGCCUGACGCAGCGACGCCGCGUGGGGGAUGAAGGU